UGGCGGGGCUGCCUCCCCGUCCUUCUCCUCACCGUCCAGUCCGUCUCCUGUCGAGGCAGCCGGAGGGGCCUCAGACAACCCAACGGGGGAGGUGGAGCGGGCGGGGGAGGAAAGCCUGGCUCUGC